rnacentral:rRNA from 1 species
GGAAUCUUCCACAAUGGACGAAAGUCUGAUGGAGCAACGCCGCGUGAGUGAAGAAGGUUUUCGGAUCGUAAAACUCUGUUGUUGGAGAAGAACACGUUUGAGAGUAACUGUUCAGACGUUGACGGUAUCCAACCAGAAAGCCACGGCUAACUCCGUGCCAGCAGCCGCGGUAAUACGGAGGAUGCGAGCGUUAUCCGGAUUUAUUGGGUUUAAAGGGUGCGUAGGCGGGUGCUUAAGCGUGAGGUGAAAGCUCGGAGCUCAACUCCGGAACUGCCUCGCGAACUGGGUGCCUUGAAUGUCCGUGCCGUGGGAGGAAUGUGUGGUGUAGCGGUGAAAUGCAUAGAGAUCACACAGAACACCGAUUGCGAAGGCAUCUCACGAACGGAUGAUUGACGCUGAGGCACGAAAGCGUGGGGAUCAAACA